rnacentral:rRNA from 1 species
CAGCCACCGCGGUUAUACGAGAGGCCCAAGUUGAUGAAAAACGGCGUAAAGCGUGGUUAAGAAAACAAGAAAAAUAGGGCCGAACAGCCUCAAAGCAGUUAUACGCAUUCGAGGCCACGAAGCUCAAUCACGAAAGUGGCCCUACAAAUCUCUGAUUCCACGAAAGCCAUAAAACAAACUGGGAUUAGAUACCCCACUAUGUAUGGUUGUUAACAUUGAUGGUUUUAUACUUAAACCAUCCGCCUGGGUACUACGAGCAUUAGCUUAAAACCCAAAGGACUUGGCGGUGCUUUAGACCCCCCUAGAGGAGCCUGUUCUAGAACUGAUAACCCCCGUUAAACCUCACCAUCCUUUGUUUAACCCGCCUAUAUACCACCGUCGUCAGCUUACCCUGUGAAGGUAAAAUAGUAAGCAUAAAUGGCAAAGCCAAAAACGUCAGGUCGAGGUGUAGCGAAUGGGAUGGGAAGAAAUGGGCUACAUUCUCUACUACAGAGAAUACGAAUGGUAUUUUGAAAAGAAAUACCUGAAGGAGGAUUUAGCAGUAAGUAAGGAAUAGAGCGCCCUACUGAAAACGGCCCUGAAGCGCGCACACACCGCCCGUCACUCUCUCCAAAUAGACCCUAAAUAUUACCUAAAAUGUUUUAUAUAAUAAGGGGAGGCAAGUCGUAACAUGGUAAGCGUACC